rnacentral:rRNA from 1 species
UACGUAGGAGGCGAGCGUUGUCCGGAAUUACUGGGCGUAAAGAGCGCGUAGGCGGCGCGAUACGACAGGUGUGAAAGCCCCCGGCUCAACUGGGGAGGGUCGCCUGUAACGGUCGUGCUCUGAGUGCAGGAGAGGGACGUGGAACUCCGGGAGUAGCGGUGAAAUGCGUAGAGACCCGGAGGAACACCAGUGGCGAAGGCGGCGUCCUGGCCUGCGACUGACGCUGUGGCGCGAAAGCUAGGGGAGCGAACGGG